UACGUAGGGUGCGAGCGUUAAUCGGAAUUACUGGGCGUAAAGCGUGCGCAGGUGGUUAUGCAAGACAGAUGUGAAAUCCCCGGGCUCAACCUGGGAAUUGCAUUUGUGACUGCAUGGCUAGAGUGUGGCAGAGGGGGAUGGAAUUCCGCGUGUAGCAGUGAAAUGCGUAGAUAUGCGGAGGAACACCGAUGGCGAAGGCAGUCCCCUGGGCCUGCACUGACACUCAUGCACGAAAGCGUGGGGAGCAAACGGG
rnacentral:rRNA from 1 species